CAUUUCGGGGAAAUCUUGUAUACGGAACUUUUUAAAAGUGGCUCUGUUUAACUUGUGGAUAGUUGAAUAUGCGGUAUGCUUCAUAGCGUGAGAUAUAUACAGUAUAUCAUUGUCGUUGGUUUGUUUAAGCGAUAAAUGAGUGAUAUUCAGCCGUACACUCGGCCGGUUUAUUAGGAACACCCGUAUACUCGGGCAAUUAUCCAGUCAGCCAACCAUGUGGCAACAGUACAGUGCAUGACAUCACAGAGAUAGAGGUCGAGCACAUCGGUUAAUGUUCACAGCAAACAUCAGAAUGAGGGGGGAAUAUCAGUGGUAUCAGUGACUUUGACUCUGGCGAUGUUGUUGGUGGCAGAGUAUUUCAGAAACUGCUGAUCAUCUGGGAUUUUCACCCACGCAGAAUGGUGCGAAAAACAACAACAAUAAAAAACAUCCAGCGAGCGGCAGCUCCGCAGGUGGAAGUGCCUUGUUGAUUAGAGAUGGCAGUGGAGAACGGUCAGAUCUGACAGGAAGUCUAUAGUAGCUUAAAUAGGUGAGCGGAAAAGAAUCUCAGAGCCUUAAUCUGUGACGUGAGCGACAACAGCAGAAGACCCACAUCAGGUUCGCACUCCUGUCAACCAAGAACAGGAAAUCUCAGGCUCACUCACCAAAAGUACAGUACAGGAGCAAGAACCCCACCUAGUGGAACUGAAUGUGAAGCUUCUACUAGGAUCAACCUUCAGAUGUAUUCAUUAUUCAAGUCGUCUUCGAACGGUGGAUUGUGAUACCUUCACCCCUGCCCUGUGGAGGUUGUUGGUGAGGUCACGGACUUUUGUUUUUGGGUUUUUCUUCACAGAUCUCACGAAGUUUGUCAUCAGCUGUUGUUGUUUUCCUUGGCUGACCCAGUCAGUGUUUGGUGCUCAGUACACCAGUGGUUUCUUUCUUUUUCAGGACAUUCCAAACUGUUGUAUUGACUAUGCCCAAUGUUUGUCCAAUGCCUCUGAUAGAUUCUCCCUCUUUUCUCAGCUUCAAAAUGGCUUGCUUUCCUCCCAUAGACAGCUCUCUGAUCUAAAUGUUGGCUUAUCCUUUUUAACAACAAAUGCAGCCAUGACAGGUGAAACUGAAGGCUUUUAAAACCAAGAGUAGAUGUUUAGCUAUUUAUUGUUUGAACAAUUAAUCUAACAGGACACCCCUGGGUAACAAGAAACACCCGUCAGUCACGUGUUUAUGUUUUUGCUCACCUACAAAUUGGGUGGUCUGAUACAAAAUGUGCAACGUUUUAUGUCGUUGAACACAUCCAGUUAAAACAGGAAUUACACAAACACCUAACAGACACUAACUGAUGCACUGACUUCAACAGCUGUGUAUUAGCUCUGUGUCAGGAUGCCGGGGACCCUGAGGCUGUGAGGAGGCACCUGCUUCACCACCCACUAGUCACCUAAACCUGACCACUUUACAAAAAAGCUUUACGCUGUUCACAUACAUUUUUCUUGGAAGGUUAGAUGACUGUAGCCAGUCACAGCUGCUCAGCUAAAAAAAAAAAAAAAAAAAAAAAAGGUUCAAACCUCUGAAAAUGAAAAUAAAAAUAAGUGUAAACAAGCACUGAAGUAAGCGAGUACAGCGGGUACCUUAAGAGCUAUUCCGAGGAAUACUAAAACACACUUGGAAACAUGCCAGAUUUCUUUUUCUGGUGCCCACCGAACACUCAAUACUCGCGUUUUUCUUUUCCACACAUCCAGAUCAAAUAUUUAAAUACAGCCCUUUCAUCCAUUUAGUUGGAAAUUCAGUUAUUUGGAACACAGUUACAUUUUGCUCCACUGAGGAACAAUUUGCUUGUGUUUUUACAUAAAACAUUAUUAAAGAAUAGGUAAUAAAUAAAUAAAUAAAUAAAUAAA